rnacentral:lncRNA from 1 species
UGUCUAAUACUGUCUAAUUUAUUGCAGAAAUUUAAGCAUAAUAACACAAAUAUUUGAAUCUGAAAAUAUUGUUUAUUGAAAAUAUACCUUGAUUACAGAGAGUUUGAUGACUACAGGUUGUUGACAGCAGAGGAAUGACUCUAACUCAAAGAAAAUUACAAGAGAAAAUUUUGAACUCUCAGAAUUUUUUCACUAAUUUUUUGAACUCUCAAAACUCUUGAAACUCUCUCUUAGCUAUUGAAACUCUUGAACCCUUGCAGACUUCUCUCUUGCCGACCUCUCUCUUGCCGACCUCUGCCUUGGGAGGAAGCCUUUGAGCCCUAUUUAUAGCAAAGGCUUGAAGACUUUAUGCCUUGGAUGUCUUCCACGUGUAUGCAGGAGGUAAAUUUGCUUUCUUCUUCUUCAUUUCAUCACAUGGGCAAUGAGUCAUCUUGCUUUUUACUUUAAAGGACGGAUUUUACUAUUCACAAAACACUAUUCACCUUUUUUUUUUUUUACAAACUGUGCACUGUGCACUUCAUCAGACUUUAUAUACUGUUCUUCUCUUUUUUUUUUUUCUUUUUUUUUUAUACUGGAUAAUCACAAGAGGGCUACUUUACAGAUGUACAAAAGAUUCUUGAUUCUUGAUAUCUCUUAGCCGAGCAUUUCUAAGAGAUAUUUCUCAAAAGUUUUUCUGGCUUCUUCUUCAAGCACAUAUUCUUUUUUAUACUUAUCAACAAGAUGAGUAAAUUGAGUUUGAAACAAAAGAGGGACUUCAUGAAAGUUAUUUGCAGAGAUGAUUUUUUGAAUAUUGUCUUCAGUAAUGAGAUUAUAGUUAGAAGAACUAUAAAUCUCGGAAUCAAGGUCUCUUGCAAUCAUUCUUGAUCUCCAAUGUCUGAUUUGUUUUUUGAGACUGGAUUUAGUACAGGGCCAAGGGUCCUUUGUACCAAACAACUGAUGUUUUCUCUGAUUGGCUUUGAGUAAAAUGAGAUGCUGAGCAGGGUAGACUCCUCCAUCAUUCGACCAUUCAGGAGGUUUACUUUCUAUGAUGAGUUCAACAGAUUUGAAAUCAUUGAUGAAGGCAUUUAAAACACAAAUAGCUAAUUUUCUUCCAAAUUUAUCAGUUUGAUCAGGAUGAGAGAAAAUCAAUUGAUAAAGAACUCCAUAGUCCAUGAGAAGGGUUGGAGUUAGUUCUAUUGACUCAUUGUUGAAUUUAAUGACUAUUGGUUUAUAACUGUCUAGGUUAAUGUUGGCUUUGCAUAUACUGUAAGUAAGAGCACACUUACAGUCAUGCCUUUCUAAUGGAAUUUCUCUACACAAGGGAUCGGUCUUUGGACAAUUAUUAUAAGUGUUGUCAUAACAAGAAAUCCAAGUGAAGCUCAUCCCUUGAAUAGUAAUUCCAAAAGUGCUACAGUCAGCAAGAAAUUGCAUGAUAUGCUCUUGCNNNNNNNNNNNNNNNNNNNNNNNNNNNNNNNNNNNNNNNNNNNNNNNNNNNNNNNNNNNNNNNNNNNNNNNNNNNNNNNNNNNNNNNNNNNNNNNNNNNNCAACCUCUCCAACUAGGCCACACCCGUUCCUCUCUAGGACUGGUUCUUUUACGUUGAAGCGGGCUUUCUUGCCUGCAAUGUUGAAAAAUGGUUGGGCAUGGUGGGUCCUAUAGAAGCCAUGGGAAGUAAUGAAGCGGCCAGUGCUUCCUAUAGGUUUUAUUUCUCUUCCCAAGUUAUGACAGACUCAAUAAGAUGGAUUAUGAUGAAAAUCAAUCCCAAUCUCAGCAUCAAGGCAGUUGAGAACCUUCCCACAAAACAAAUUCUAUCAAUAUUCUCAUCCCAUGAUCGCCUACGCCUUCUUAAUGCUUCAUAUUUUGUAGUGCCCAACUCCCUGCAGAUAGACAUCAGGAGCAGGGGAAAACAACAAGAAAACAAAGUGCAAAUGAAGGCAUCGAAAUGAAUUGACCAUGGCCAUGUCUCAUAUUAUACACCAGUUCAUUUCUAUGAACUACACACAUUUGAGAAGUCCAGGGGCCCAAAGAAUGGGAAUUUUGACUUGCCCAGUAAAUAGUUAGUUUUUUUUUGUGAUAGGCAAAAACAAAUUGAAUAACGACAUUCCCAUCUUUCACAACCAAAAGGCAAAACAUACCAUCUCUUAUGGCAGUCGGCCCAUCGGCAUAAAGGGCAACUACAGCAAGAGUGAUGNNNNNNNNNNNNNNNNNNNNNNNNNNNNNNNNNNNNNNNNNNNNNNNNNNNNNNNNNNNNNNNNNNNNNNNNNNNNNNNNNNNNNNNNNNNNNNNNNNNNCAGAUUUGAAAUCAUUGAUGAAGGCAUUUAAAACACAAAUAGCUAAUUUUCUUCCAAAUUUAUCAGUUUGAUCAGGAUGAGAGAAAAUCAAUUGAUAAAGAACUCCAUAGUCCAUGAGAAGGGUUGGAGUUAGUUCUAUUGACUCAUUGUUGAAUUUAAUGACUAUUGGUUUAUAACUGUCUAGGUUAAUGUUGGCUUUGCAUAUACUGUAAGUAAGAGCACACUUACAGUCAUGCCUUUCUAAUGGAAUUUCUCUACACAAGGGAUCGGUCUUUGGACAAUUAUUAUAAGUGUUGUCAUAACAAGAAAUCCAAGUGAAGCUCAUCCCUUGAAUAGUAAUUCCAAAAGUGCUACAGUCAGCAAGAAAUUGCAUGAUAUGCUCUUGCUUUGCUUCUCUUGUAGCUUUAGCCUUUUCACAUAUCAUCUGUCUAAUGCUUUCAAGAAGGUCCAAAAUUUUCAACUUGAAAAAUGAAAAUCUGGAAAUUUGACAUUCUUGGCCUUCCUGGGAAAGUUUUGAAUCUUCAUUUAGUUUUGAAAGUUCUUUUUGAAAUUCAUUUUGAAAAUCUUUAGAAAAUGCAUCUUUGGAUCCUUUUGCUUUUUUCCUGCAAAUGAAAUUUUCAAGAUCUGUAUCCAUUGGUGUGCAAUGUAUAUCAGAACUUGAAGGGUUAGAAAAACUUUCUAAUUUAUCAUUUAACUGUUUAAAAUGGAAAGAUAAUGCAUUUAAAGCUUCCAACUUUUGAAUAUCACUUUUUGCAUUCCAGAGGUUGUCUAAAAUGCAUUUUUGUGAUCUGUCUAAACCUUCAAUAUCUUUAUGAAUCCGAAAUGACAUAUUACAUUUAGGAAAUACUAGAAGAGUAAAUUUCCCAAAUGUAAUUCUUUCUUGCUCCAUCUGUACACAAAGUUUAAAUGUUAGUAUCUUUAUUGAAGAAUAAAACAAAUAUCUAAUGGUUUUGUCUUUAUCAUACCAAAUUUGAAAAUAUAUUGAGUUCAUGAGGGGAACAUAAUUUCUAAUAAUGAUAUUAAAAUGAGUUUUUGAAUAUUUUGAAAUCACAUUUAUUGACUUAUAUGAGCAUGCACAAAUACCAUCACAAUCUUUUUGAUUAUCUGAUUCUUCUUCUAGACUUGACUCUUCACUUGAUAUUUCUUGAGUUAUGAGGAUUUGAUUAUCUUCUUCUGAUUCAUAAUUUUCACUUGAUUCAUCAUUUUCUUUAUCAAUCAUUAAUCCUAUCAUUAAAUUUUUGAGUUUAUCACUUAUUUCUAAUGAAUUGAUUUUAUUUUCUAAUUGACAAUCUCUUGAAUAAUGACCUACUUUUCCACAUUUAUAACAGGUAGGUGUUUUCUUUUUUAAAUUUGAUUUAUUUGGAGGUUUUGAUUUAUUAGGAGUAGAUUUUACAAACUUCUUUUGAAAUUUUGAUUCUGUUGAAGGUUUUUUACUUUUUAUUUUAUUUUGUUUAUUUUUUCUUUUUGAAGGGGCAACUAAUGUAUCAUAACCGUAAUAUGAACAAAAUUUUCCUAAUUCUUUUCUGUUAUAUUGUUUCUCUUUUUUCAUUUGACUCUUUAAUUUAAGAUCUGUACAAAGAGCUAAACCUUCAUUAUUAACAAAAGUAAUUAAUUCUCCAUAUGUUAAUGACUCAUAAGGAAUCCUACCAUUAUGAAUAUUUCUUAUUCUUUGUCUAACUUUUUCUGCAAAUAAGGUGGGUAAUCCUGAUAUAAAUUUUUCUUUCCAAUAAUGAUUUCCACAAUCAGGUCUUGACAUAACUUUGACUAAAAACAUAUCUUUAUACCACUUAAAAUCUUGAAGUGUUGGACAUCUAAGAUUGUUAAGGAUUUCAGAAGUUCUUUCUUGAAAAUAGACUGGAUCUCCUAUAAAAUGUUUUGUUAUUGCAAAUAUUAGAGUAUUGACAGCAUCUUCUUCAUAAGUUUGGACUGAUGUUCCUUCUUCUUUGAUUAUUGUCUUUUUUGCAUUUAAUAUAUAUUCUCUAUCAUUUUGACUCAAAUAAUGAUCCCACCAUCCUUUAAGCAAACCAGUGAAUCCUAUGACCAAGGCACCGGCAGCAUGAAAGUCAGAAUUACUAGUCUUGAUUCUAUAUGCAUUAGCAGCCAUCAUCAUUUCAUGAAGUAAAUUGAUUAUUUGAUGUUCACUCAUUCCAUCUAUAUUCCAUUCAUAAAAACUACUACCAUCAUAACUAGCAGCUAAUUGAUAAUUUCUUUCUUCUAAUUGGACAUCAAGAAAAGAGGGUUUUGAAUAAUAAUUUUUUCUACUUACAAAAUUAUUAGAAAUUGCAUUGACUGUUGCAGGAGGUUUUACUAUUGAAUCCGGAGACAUUUUGAAUUGUUCUUCUAUUUUAUUGAUUUCUGAUUUUCCUUUUGUUAUGGUUUGAAUUUGAUUCUUAGUUUGAUUGAUACCAUUAAUAUUGAGUUUAUCUAAUCUCAUUUGUAUUUCUUUUAACAUUAUUUCUGUUGGUGUGGCUAAUUGAAUAUUUGAUUUUGCAGCAUUUAUAGGAAUAAUAAAGGGUUGGUCUGAACACUUAGAAGAUGAUGAUGACGAAGAUGAUGAUGAUGAUAAAGUUGAAGAAACUUUUGAAGAAAAUUGUAAUUUUGAUGUUGUUUCUCCUAUCCUCUCUCCCGGGACAGAAGAAAACAAAAAUUGAGAAAUUUUUGUUGUCUGUUGAUUCACAUGUUGAAGAGAAUGAUUUGUAUAAUUUAAUUGUUGUUGAAUUUGUCUAAUGUCUUUGUAAAUUAUGGGACUUUGUUCAUCUUUAGUUCUUGGAAUUUUAAAGGGUGAUGCAG